CCUACGGGUGGCAGCAGUGAGGAAUAUUGGUCAAUGGCCGAGAGUCUGAACCAGCCAAGCCGCGUGAGGGAAGACGGCUCCAUGGGUUGUAAACUUCUUUUGUCCAAGGACAAACUCAGGCACGAGAGCCUGACCGCGGGUACCUGAAGAAAAAGCAUCGGCUAACUCCGUGCCAGCAGCCGCGGUAAUACGGAGGAUGCGAUCGUUAUCCGGAUUUAUUGGGUUUAAAGGGUUCGUAGGCGGUCUGUUAAGUCAGCGGUAAAAUACCGGGGCUCAACCCCGUCUAGCCGUUGAAACUGGCAGUCUUGAGAUGGCGAGAGGUAGGCGGAAUGCGCAGUGUAGCGGUGAAAUGCUUAGAUAUCGCGCAGAACUCCGAUUGCGAAGGCAGCAUACCGGCGGCGGUCUGACGCUGAGGCACGAAAGCGUGGGUAUCGAACAGGAUUAGAUACCCGUGUAGUC
rnacentral:rRNA from 1 species